rnacentral:rRNA from 1 species
UGGGGAAUAUUGCACAAUGGGCGCAAGCCUGAUGCAGCCAUGCCGCGUGUAUGAAGAAGGCCUUCGGGUUGUAAAGUACUUUCAGCGGGGAGGAAGGGAGUAAAGUUAAUACCUUUGCUCAUUGACGUUACCCGCAGAAGAAGCACCGGCUAACUCCGUGCCAGCAGCCGCGGUAAUACGGAGGGUGCAAGCGUUAAUCGGAAUUACUGGGCGUAAAGCGCACGCAGGCGGUUUGUUAAGUCAGAUGUGAAAUCCCCGGGCUCAACCUGGGAACUGCAUCUGAUACUGGCAAGCUUGAGUCUCGUAGAGGGGGGUAGAAUUCCAGGUGUAGCGGUGAAAUGCGUAGAGAUCUGGAGGAAUACCGGUGGCGAAGGCGGCCCCCUGGACGAAGACUGACGCUCAGGUGCGAAAGCGUGGGAAGCAAACAGG